GAUGAACGCUGGCGGCGUGCCUAAUACAUGCAAGUCGAACGCAAUGUAGUAAUACAUUGAGUGGCGAACGGGUGAGUAAUACAUAAGUAACCUAGCCUCCACAGGGGGAUAACUAUUGGAAACGAUAGCUAAAACCGCAUAGGCAAUAGUUUCGCAUGAAAUUAUUGUUAAAGGAGCUAUAAAGCUCUGGUAGGGGAUGGACUUAUGGCGCAUUAGCUAGUUGGUAAGGUAAUGGCUUACCAAGGCGACGAUGCGUAGCCGACCUGAGAGGGUGACCGGCCACACUGGGACUGAGACACGGCCCAGACUCCUACGGGAGGCAGCAGUAGGGAAUUUUCGGCAAUGGGGGGAACCCUGACCGAGCAACGCCGCGUGAAGGAAGAAGGUCUUCGGAUUGUAAACUUCUGUUAUAAAGGAAGAAUGAUAGAUGUAGGAAAUGACAGCUAUGUGACGGUACUUUAUGAGGAAGCCACGGCUAACUACGUGCCAGCCGCCGCCGUAA
rnacentral:rRNA from 1 species